GGGAGAGGCGGGGCAUCCUGGAUGGAGACGAAGGCGGGAGAGGAGGACGCGCCUGCGUGCUACGGGUAGGGGAAGGGUCAGGUCUUCUACCUUCUAGGGUCUCUUGUAUCGCAGGCUGGACUUGGACUUGCUGUAUAACCAAGGGUGACAUUGAAAAUCCUUUGAAACUUCCUCUUCGCCCUUUGAACGCCCAUGAGGAAAGUACAGUCCUGUGCUGUUCCAGUGUAAUAGGCGACUGUAACUGUGAAGAGAAGGAAAGUCACAGAAGCUGCAUUGAUGGCCAAGGUCAAUACACUGGAUCCCUCCUCCCAGUGACACCGCAACAGUUUCCUCCACGCCCCAUGGCCCCAUUCAGUCAUAGAUCACCUGCUUUCACUCAAAGCUGGACAUGGGCUAGCCUAGAUCAGUGGUGUGGUAUGUUGUUCC